rnacentral:tRNA from 1 species
GUCAGGAUGCCGAGCGGUCUAAGGCGCUGCGUUCAGGUAGCAGUCUCCACCUGGAGGCGUGGGUUCGAAUCCCACUUCUGACA